GACGUAGGAGGCGAGCGUUAUCCGGAUUCACUGGGCGUAAAGCGCAUGUAGGCGGUUAAGCAAGUCCGAUGUUAAAGCCCCUGGCUCAACUGGGGGAGGUCAUUGGAGACUGCUUUGACUUGAGGGCAACAGAGGCACGUGGAACUCCCGGUGUAGCGGUGGAAUGCGUAGAGAUCGGGAAGAACACCAGUGGCGAAGGCGACGUGCUGGGUUGCGACUGACGCUGAGAUGCGAAAGUGUGGGGAGCAAACAGG
rnacentral:rRNA from 1 species